ensembl:lncRNA
GACCACAAAACCAGUCAUAAGGGUCAUUUUUUUCAAAUUGAGAUUUACAUAUCAUGUGAAAGCUAAAAAUAAAUAAUCUCUGCAUUGAUGUAUGGUUUGUUAGGAGGACAAUAUUUGCCCGAGGUACAAUUAUUUGAAAAUCUGGAAUCUGAGGGUGCAAAAAAAUCUAAAUAUUGAGAAAAUCAUCUUUAAAGUUGUCCAAAUGAAGUUCUUAGCAAUGCAUAUUACUAAUCAAAAAUUAAGUUUAGAUAUAUUUACAGUGGGAGAUUUACAAAAUAUCUUCAUGUAAAAAAAAAACUCAGGACUGCGGAGAGGAAAUGGCAUAAAUCAAGAAACUACUGACCUCAGUGUGUAUCAGUCUCUCCUCUCCUCCUUCUCUGCAAACGUCUUCACUGCUAAAACAUCAUACUACCACAAAAAAAUUAACAACUGUUCUGACUCUCGCACACUUAUCAAAACUUUCUCUUCUCUUCUUAGUCCGCCUCCACCUCCUCCUUCAUCGACUCUUACAGCUGAUGACUUUGCAGUUUUCUUCACAAAUAAGACAAGAACCAUCAGUGACCAAUUCACCACACCGCAGACUGAUGAUACACACUCUCUCUCCUCCUUCUCACCACUCUCAGAGACGGACGUUUCCAAACUUCUGUCCAGUCAUCCUACUACUUGUCCACUUGAUCCUAUCCCCACUCACCUCCUUCAGGCCAUUUCUUCUUCAGUCAUACCUUCACUUACUCACAUUAUCAACACCUCUCUUCACUCUGGUACAGUUCCCUCAGCAUAUAAGCAGGCUCAGAACAACCUCCUGGACACUCAACUGAGACUGCCCUGCUCUCGGUUACUGAAGCCCUGCGACUGGCAAGAGCAGCUUCCAAAUCCUCAAUACUCAUCUUGCUGGACCUGUCUGCUGCUUUUGACACUGUUAAUUACCAGAUUCUCCUGUCCACCCUCAGAAAGAUGAAAAAUCUCAGGAACCGCACUCCAGUGGUUUAAGUCCUACCUCUCAGAUAGAUCCUUCAGGGUGUCUUGGAGGGGUGAAGUUUCUAAGUCACAACAACUUGCUACUGGGGUUCCUCAAGGCUCAGUACUUGGACCACUUCUCUUCUCCAUCUACAUGACGUCAUUAGGAUCUGUCAUUCAGAAGCAUGGCUUUUCUUAUCACUGCUACGCUGAUGACACUCAACUCUACUUCUCAUUCCACCCAGAUGAUCCGACGGUAGUUGCUCGCAUUACAGCCUGCCUGUCUGAGUAACAUUUCUAGCUGGAUGAAUGACCAUCACCUUCAGCUCAACCUUACUAAGACUGAACUGCUGGUGGUUCCAGCUAACCCAUCGUUAAAUCACAACUACUCGAUACAGCUGGGUUCAUCAACCAUAACUCCUUCCAGGACAGCCAGAAACCUAGGAGUUGUGAUGGAUCAUCAGUUAAGCUUCACAGACCAUAUUGCUACAACGACCGGUCCUGCAGAUUUGCCUUAUACAACAUUAGGAAGAUUAGACUCUUCCUGUCAGAGCAAGCCACACAACUUCUUGUCCAGGCUCUUGUUCUCUCCAGACUGGACUAUUGUAAUGCUCUCCUGGCGGGCCUUCCUGCAUGUACUAUCAAGCCUCUACAACUGAUCCAGAAUGCAGCAGCGAGGGUUGUCUUCAAUGAGCCAAAAACAGCUCAUGUUACUCCUCUCCUCAUCAGGUUACACUGGCUACCAGUAGCCGCUCGCAUCAAAUUCAAGGUACUGAUGCUUGCCUACAAGACGACCACUGGCACAGCACCAACAUACCUAAGCUCAUUAGUUCAAUCUUAUGAGCCCUCCAGAAGUUUGCGCUCUGCAAGUGAAUGGUGCCUUGUGGUGCCAUCCCAAAGAGGUUCAAAAUCACUCUCACAGACCUUUUCCUGGACUGUGCCCAGCUGGUGGAAUGACCUCCCGAUCUCAAUUCACAGAUACCAUUUAAACUGAACUGAGCUGCAUGAUGACAUCACUGAAUUCAAUGAUGAACUGCC